AUCGAUGAAGAACGCAGCGAAAUGCGAUAAGUAAUGUGAAUUGCAGAUUUUCAGUGAAUCAUCGAAUCUUUGAACGCACCUUGCGCUCCCUGGUAUUCCGGGGAGCAUGCCUGUUUGAGUGUCAUUAAAUUCUCAACCCCGAUCGGAUUUGUUUUCGCAUUCGGAGGCUUGGAUAGUGGAGCGUGCUGGCCCCCUCUCAUGGGUCGGCUCCUCUUAAACGCAUUCGCGGAAUUGACUUUGGUCCGUUUCGGUCAUCAGUGUGAUAAACGUUGCGCUGUUGGCUAGGAUCGAGGUGCCGCAUACAAUCGUCUUCGGACAACUUUAUGACCAUUUGGCCUCAAAUCAGGUAGGACUACCCGCUGAACUUAAGCAUAUCAAUAAGCGGAGGAAAAGAAACUAACAAGGAUUCCCCUAGUAACUGCGAGUGAAGCGGGAAAAGCUCAAAUUUAAAAUCUGGCUGCCUCCGGUGGUCCGAGUUGUAAUCUGGAGAAGCGUUUUCCGCGUCGGACCGUGUACAAGUCUUCUGGAACGGAGCGUCAUAGAGGGUGAGAAUCCCGUCUCUGACACGGACUACCGAUGCUUUUGUGAUGCGCUCUCGAAGAGUCGAGUUGUUUGGGAAUGCAGCUCAAAAUGGGAGGUAAAUUCCUUCUAAAGCUAAAUAUUGGCUAGAGACCGAUAGCGAACAAGUACCGUGAGGGAAAGAUGAAAAGCACUUUGGAAAGAGAGUUAAACAGUACGUGAAAUUGUUGAAAGGGAAACGCUUGAAGUCAGUCGCGUUGUCCGAGACUCAGCCUGGCUUGCCUGGUGUACUUCUCGGUUGACGGGUCAGCAUCAGUUUUGACCGCCGGAUAAAGGUUGGAGGAAUGUGGCAUCCCUCGGGUUGUGUUAUAGCCUCUGAUUCGCAUACGGCGAUUGGGACUGAGGAACUCAGCACGCCUUUAUGGUCGGGGUUCGCCCACGUAACGUGCUUAGGAUGCUGGCAUAAUGGCUUUAAGCGACCCGUCUUGAAACACGG
rnacentral:rRNA from 1 species